CCUACGGGUGGCAGCAGUGGGGAAUAUUGCACAAUGGGGGGAACCCUGAUGCAGCGACGCCGCGUGAGUGAAGAAGUAUUUCGGUAUGUAAAGCUCUGUCAGCAGGGAAGAAGGAAGACGGUACCUGACCAAGAAGCGCCGGCUAACUACGUGCCAGCAGCCGCGGUCAUACGUAGGGGGCAAGCGUUAUCCGGAUUUACUGGGUGUAAAGGGAGCGUAGACGGCAGGGGAAGUCUGGAGGGAAAGGCCGGGGCCCAACCCCUGGGCUGCCCGGGAAACUGUCCGGCUGGAGUGCAGGAGAGGUAAGUGGAAUGCCUAGUGUAGCGGUGAAAUGCGUAGAUAUUAGGAGGAACACCAGGGGCGAAGGCGGCUUACUGGACUGUAACUGACGUUGAGGCUCGAAAGCGUGGGGAGCAAACAGGAUUAGAUACCCGAGUAGUC
rnacentral:rRNA from 1 species